rnacentral:rRNA from 1 species
GAUGAACGCUGGCGGCGUGCUUAACACAUGCAAGUCGAACGAAGCACUUUAUUUGAUUUCCUUCGGGACUGAUUAUUUUGUGACUGAGUGGCGGACGGGUGAGUAACGCGUGGGUAACCUGCCUUGUACAGGGGGAUAACAGUUGGAAACGGCUGCUAAUACCGCAUAAGCGCACGGCAUCGCAUGAUGCAGUGUGAAAAACUCCGGUGGUAUAAGAUGGACCCGCGUUGGAUUAGCUAGUUGGUGAGGUAACGGCCCACCAAGGCGACGAUCCAUAGCCGACCUGAGAGGGUGACCGGCCACAUUGGGACUGAGACACGGCCCAAACUCCUACGGGAGGCAGCAGUGGGGAAUAUUGCACAAUGGGCGAAAGCCUGAUGCAGCGACGCCGCGUGAGCGAAGAAGUAUUUCGGUAUGUAAAGCUCUAUCAGCAGGGAAGAUAAUGACGGUACCUGACUAAGAAGCACCGGCUA